rfam:Cephalotus follicularis DNA, scaffold: scaffold181, isolate: St1.
GCCGAGCUAAUUAACAAUAGCUUAUAACCCAAGUGGGGGCAUGAAGAAUGAAGGGACAAUGGCUCAGUCCAUGGAGUAUGGCCUGAUGUGGCAAGCAACUGGCCUGCCCGUUCCAAGCCAAGAGCUGAACCAUGCGACCUAAAUGAAGGUUCGGGUUUCAUGGUUCCUAAAGCGGAGGGCACAGCGUGAGGCUGGUUUCACAGAGCAGCGAUCACCUCCCUCUCUUGGCAGUGGAAGGAUUACAGGCUAGUGUCACACAGACCUAUCAUGGCUCCAUGGCUUGACCCUAACUGGACCUUCAUUUUU